rnacentral:rRNA from 1 species
UACGUAGGGUGCGAGCGUUAAUCGGAAUUACUGGGCGUAAAGCGUGCGCAGGCGGUAAGUUAAGUCUGAUGUGAAAGCCCCGGCUCAACCUCGAGACGCCGGUGGAAACCAUCAGACUAGAGUCCGGAAGAGGAGAGUGGAAUUCCUGGUGUAGCGGUGAAAUGCGCAGAUAUCAGGAAGAACACCCGUGGCUAAGGCGGCUCUCUAGUACGGUACUGACGCUGAGACGCGAAAGCGUGGGGAGCGAACAGG